AUUGAACGCUGGCGGCAUGCCUUACACAUGCAAGUCGAACGGCAGCAUGGAAGAGCUUGCUCUUCUGAUGGCGAGUGGCGAACGGGUGAGUAAAGCAUCGGAACGUACCGUGUAGUGGGGGAUAACGUAGCGAAAGUUACGCUAAUACCGCAUACGCACUGAGGUGGAAAGCAGGGGAUCGCAAGACCUUGCGCUAUACGAGCGGCCGAUGUCAGAUUAGCUAGUUGGUGGGUAAAGGCCUACCAAGGCGACGAUCUGUAGCGGGUCUGAGAGGAUGAUCCGCCACACUGGGACUGAGACACGGCCCAGACUCCUACGGGAGGCAGCAGUGGGGAAUUUGGACAAUGGGCGAAAGCCUGAUCCAGCCAUGCCGCGUGAGUGAAGAAGGCCGUCGGGUUGUAAAGCUCUUUCGGCUGGGAAGAAAUCGCACAGGCUAAUACUCUGUGUGGAUGACGGUACCAGCACAAGAAGCACCGGCUAACUACG
rnacentral:rRNA from 1 species